GUUGCCCAUGGCCCUACACUUUAGAGCUCACUUCUGACCUUUUUUUCAGCUCAACUCCAAUCUAAGGGGCCAAGAAGACAUGUACUAUCAGACAAAUACCCAUGUGACUAAGGUCCCAGAAUUCCUUGCCCAGAUGGUCCAGACAUGCUCCCAGAGAUGGGAAGCCAUCUUCCUUGGGUACUUCCUUCCAAGGGUAUAUCUCACUACCGGACACUGGCAUAAAACUAGUUUCAUUGAACUGUGCAGUUCUUCUGCUAAUGGAGCCAACACAUGAAGAGUUAUCACUUCACUUUUCAUUUGCCCAAAAGAAAACUUGGAAUCCAAAGUGGGCAAAGUUAAUGAAGAAAAUCAUCUGAGAAAAAACGUGUGACUCUUGGGAUAAACUUGAAGUAGGCCAAAAUAGAGAACUUCAUUUGGCAGACAUUCUGGAAACAGAAUGCUUCUGAGCCUUGGGAGUGUCUGAAUGUUCACAAUGAUACUGAACUUCAGGACACGGAGUGUGGUGGAUGGACUGUAGAAGACCGGUGUUGUGGGUAGGAAGAAAAAGUCAGAGGUUAUGUUGUCACCUCUGUGAACAAUAAU